rnacentral:misc_RNA from 1 species
AACUUUUGACAAUGGAUCUCUUGGCUCUCGCAUCGAUGAAGAACGCAGCGAAAUGCGCUACGUAAUGUGAAUUGCAGAAUUCAGUGAAUCAUCGAAUCUUUGAACGCACCUUGCGCCCUUUGGUAUUCCGAGGGGCACACCCGAUUGAGUGUCGUGACAUUCUCACAACCUUCUCGGUUUCUCGACCGGGAAGGCUUUGGACUUUGGAGGCUUUUGCUGGCAUUCCUUUGUUGGAGCCAGCUCCUCUGAAAUGAAUUAGUGGGGUCUGCUUUGCCGAUCCUUGACGUGAUAAGAUGUUUUCUACGUCUUGGGUUUUAGCACUCCUGCUUCUAUCCGUCUCACAGUAGACAAAUGGUCCACUCGACCCACAAACCUUGACCUCAAAUCGGGUGAGACUACCCGCUGAACUUAAGCAUAUCAAUAAGCGGAGGUU